rnacentral:rRNA from 1 species
UACGUAGGGUGCGAGCGUUGUCCGGAAUUAUUGGGCGUAAAGAGCUUGUAGGCGGUUUGUCGCGUCUGCUGUGAAAAUCCGGGGCUCAACCCCGGACUUGCAGUGGGUACGGGCAGACUAGAGUGUGGUAGGGGAGACUGGAAUUCCUGGUGUAGCGGUGAAAUGCGCAGAUAUCAGGAGGAACACCGAUGGCGAAGGCAGGUCUCUGGGCCAUUACUGACACUGAGAAGCGAAAGCAUGGGGAGCGAACAGG